AGAUCCAAAAGUUUCAGAGGCUGGAGAGCCUAAGGAUUUUUGAAUUAAUUGUCAAAGACAGAAAACAAGAUGCUAGAAAUGUAGACUUGAGAUUUCUUAGGCAUACAGAACAGUUCUGUGCAUGUUUACUCAGAGUAAUCUGCUGUAUCUAGAGGGGAGGACUUGCUUAUCAGCGUUGUCUGUGUGAAAGUUUCCCAGAGGAACUUACAAAUCUAAUGUAAAGGUCACUGGAGUACCAAGGUGACCAACAUGCUCCACAGCAAUGACAAGGCCACUCAGGAGUGACUGCACUAAUGGCUGUAUGCAUCUCACCAUUCCACAGUUAGACGACAGCCUCGACAGGAGCAUCAGCAAUAUCAGCUGGAAAAUCAAUAAUUGCAAUAAUCCAAUCUGGAAGUUACCAGAGCAUGGAGUACGUGGCCCAGUCACCUCUAUCCAGAAGGGGCCAAAGCUGGUGAACCAGCUAGAGGUGGAAAAAGGCACUCUUAGCGAUAGUUGUUACAUCUGUAUCCAAGGAGGUCAUCUUAAGGAGAAGACGCACCACUGCCUCCAUCAAAGCAGAUGGCAGAUA